UCCCCUAGUAACGGCGAGUGAAGAGGGAAAAGCUCAAAUUUUAAAUCUACCUGGUUCGUCCCAGGUCGAGUUGUAAUUUGAAGAAGCGAUAUCGGUGUUGAGGUCUGGUUUAAGUUCUUUGGAACAAGACAUCAUGGAGGGUGAGAAUCCCGUGCAUGAUCAGACCAAGAUACUAAGUAUAUGCUUUCUAAGAGUCGAGUUGUUUGGGAAUGCAGCUCAAAAUGGGUGGUAGACUUCACCUAAGGCUAAAUAUCAGCGAGAGACCGAUAGCGAACAAGUACUGUGAAGGAAAGAUGAAAACAACUUUGAAAAGAGAGUUAAAUAGUACGUGAAAUUGUUGAAAGGGAAACGAUUGAAGUCAGUCAUGCCAGUGAAAAUUCAGUUUGGCGAGUUUCUGGUUCGGAGUAGAGGCAGGGUCAAACCGUCUCUCUUUUGGACUUUGGAUUUGUCAGAUGCAUUUUUUCUUUGGCAGGUCAGUAUCGGUUUCGGGAGUUGUAAAAUACCUGGGGUAAAGUAGCUUUGCUUCGGGAGAGUGUUAUAGACCUUGGGGGAUGCAGCUCGCGGGAUCGAGGAUUGCAGCAAAUGCCUU
rnacentral:rRNA from 1 species